rnacentral:rRNA from 1 species
UAGGGAAUAUUGGGCAAUGGAGGGAACUCUGACCCAGCCAUGCCGCGUGCAGGAUGAAGGCGUUAUGCGUUGUAAACUGCUUUUAUAUAGGAAGAAAUAGUCCUUGCGAGGAAAGUUGACGGUACUAUAUGAAUAAGCACCGGCUAACUCCGUGCCAGCAGCCGCGGUAAUACGGAGGGUGCAAGCGUUGUCCGGAUUUAUUGGGUUUAAAGGGUGCGUAGGCGGUUUAUUAAGUCAGUGGUGAAAGACGGUCGCUCAACGAUUGCAGUGCCAUUGAUACUGGUAGACUUGAGUAUGAUUGAGGUAGCUGGAAUGGAUAGUGUAGCGGUGAAAUGCAUAGAUAUUAUCCAGAACACCAAUUGCGUAGGCAAGUUACUAAGUCAUAACUGACGCUGAGGCACGAAAGUGUGGGUAUCAAACAGGAUUAGAUACCCGGGUAGUCCCUGAGCGGGCUGGCAAGGCGCAU